CGGCGGACGGGUGAGUAAUGUCUGGGAAACUGCCCGAUGGAGGGGGAUAACUACUGGAAACGGUAGCUAAUACCGCAUAACGUCGCAAGACCAAAGAGGGGACCUUCGGGCCUCUUGCCAUCGGAUGUGCCCAGAUGGGAUUAGCUAGUAGGUGGGGUAACGGCUCACCUAGGCGACGAUCCCUAGCUGGUCUGAGAGGAUGACCAGCCACACUGGAACUGAGACACGGUCCAG
rnacentral:rRNA from 1 species